rnacentral:rRNA from 1 species
AGUGAACGCUGGCGGUAGGCCUAACACAUGCAAGUCGAACGGCAGCACAGUAAGAGCUUGCUCUUACGGGUGGCGAGUGGCGGACGGGUGAGGAAUACAUCGGAAUCUACUUUUUCGUGGGGGAUAACGUAGGGAAACUUACGCUAAUACCGCAUACGACCUACGGGUGAAAGCAGGGGAUCUUCGGACCUUGCGCGAUUGAAUGAGCCGAUGUCGGAUUAGCUAGUUGGCGGGGUAAAGGCCCACCAAGGCGACGAUCCGUAGCUGGUCUGGGAGGAUGAUCAGCCACACUGGAACUGAGAAACGGUCCAGACUCCUACGGGAGGCAGCAGUGGGGAAUAUUGGACAAUGGGCGAAAGACUGAUCCAGCCAUACCGCGUGGGUGAAGAAGGAGUUCGGGUUGGAAAGCCCUUUUGUUGGGAAAGAAAAGCAGCAGGUUAAUACCCCGCUGUUCUGACGGUACCCAAAGAAUAAGCACCGGCUAACUUCGUG